GAAUGUUGUUCCACAGAACCAUCCAGUCAAGGAGGACACGCGAAGGGACCUUCCACCAUUCUCUUCUAAGACAGAGCUUAGCAAUUUGAGCAAAGAAAAAGCCCGCCACUGAUGCCUUCUAUUACCAACAGCUCUGAAACCAAACUGGUGUGAGAUCAGAGAUUCAAAAAUACUGCCAGAAAAUACAACCAGAGUUUUUCACUACUGCAAGGACUCUAACAAGAUGGAUUUUGGCAGUACUGGUGAAUCACACAAAAAUGAAUGCUUUGGUGAGAAAAGCUAGAAACCUCUGGCAUGUUGGGAAAUCUGGAGUGCUACAUUCUACAUUUCCACUUUCAGAUCAAGUCUCCCUCUCCUUGCAGUGACUUAUAUUUGUUGUUAACCUUAUCAGUGGAUAAAUAACAUCUACUAAGGAAAGCAAUUUUAACAGUUAGUCCUUAAGAGAACUUAACAGAGUAUGAAGCUGAAGUCAAAUAAAAGAUGUAUACUCAGAAGACUAAAGUACCUGUAUUUUUCAUAAUCAAUUCUUAAAAUAUUUUCAGCAUAUUCACAGGACAAACUUCUUUUAUUGUCUAUCUUUGGAAUAAUGAUGUAUUAAAAUCCAUAACUAUAUAAUUAAAUAGUGACUUUAUUUGGUAAAGAUAUAGUACCUAUUUUAUAAAUUUCCAUCACAGUUUUUGGUUGGGUGGGUUUUUCAAUUCUAAAAUAGCUGGUAUCCAAAAAGGAGAGGGGUAAUUAAAAGCAAAGUAAUGAAAUAUUUCCUUGAAGAUUCCCCACAAAUUUUAUGAAUAAUCAGAGAAAAUACUAAUUUUUAUUCAGUUACAGGCUAUUCCUGCUCAAACUUACUGUUAAUUGUCCCAGACUGAAGCACAUGAAA